ACGCUGGCGGCAGCCUNGCACAUGCAAGUCCGAACGGUAGCACAGAGAGCUUGCUCUCGGGUGACGAGUGGCGGACGGGUGAGUAAUGUCUGGGAAACUGCCCGAUGGAGGGGGAUAACUACUGGAAACGGUAGCUAAUACCGCAUAACGUCGCAAGACCAAAGAGGGGGACCUUCGGGCCUCUUGCCAUCGGAUGUGCCCAGAUGGGAUUAGCUUGUAGGUGAGGUAACGGCUCACCUAGGCGACGAUCCCUAGCUGGUCUGAGAGGAUGACCAGCCACACUGGAACUGAGACACGGUCCAGACUCCUACGGGAGGCAGCAGUGGGGAAUAUUGCACAAUGGGCGCAAGCCUGAUGCAGCCAUGCCGCGUGUAUGAAGAAGGCCUUCGGGUUGUAAAGUACUUUCAGCGGGGAGGAAGGGAGUGAGGUUAAUAACCUCAUUCAUUGACGUUACCCGCAGAAGAAGCACCGGCUAACUCCGUGCCAGCAGCCGCGGUAAUACGGAGGGUGCAAGCGUUAWUCGGAAUUACUGGGCGUAAAGCGCACGCAGGCGGUCUGUCAAGUCGGAUGUGAAAUCCCCGGGCUCAACCUGGGAACUGCAUUCGAAACUGGCAGGCUGGAGUCUUGUAGAGGGGGGUAGAAUUCCAGGUGUAGCGGUGAAAUGCGUAGAGANCUGGAGGAANACCGGUGGCGAAGGCGGCCCCCUGGACAAAGACUGACGCUCAGGUGCGAAAGCGGGGGAGCAAAC
rnacentral:rRNA from 1 species